GGCAGCACAGCUCAGCGGCAGAGCACAUGCCUAGCGCGUACGAGGUCCUGGGUUCAAUCCCCAGUACCUCCA
rnacentral:tRNA from 1 species